rnacentral:rRNA from 1 species
UGAGGAAUAUUGGUCAAUGGGCGCGAGCCUGAACCAGCCAAGUAGCGUGAAGGAUGAAGGUCCUAUGGAUUGUAAACUUCUUUUAUAGCAGAAUAAAGUGACCCACGUGUGGGUUUUUGUAUGUAUGCUAUGAAUAAGGAUCGGCUAACUCCGUGCCAGCAGCCGCGGUAAUACGGAGGAUCCGAGCGUUAUCCGGAUUUAUUGGGUUUAAAGGGUGCGUAGGCGGAAAGAUAAGUCAGCCUGUGAAAGUUUGCGGCUCAACCGUAAAAUUGCAGUUGAUACUGUUUUUCUUGAGUGUACAUAAGGUAGGCGGAAUUCGUGGUGUAGCGGUGAAAUGCUUAGAUAUCACGAAGAACGCCGAUUGCGAAGGCAGCGUACCGGGGUACAACUGACGCUGAUGCACGAAAGUGUGGGUAUCAAACA